rnacentral:rRNA from 1 species
AUUGAACGCUGGCGGCAUGCUUUACACAUGCCAGUCGAACGGCAGCGCGGGCUUCGGCCUGGCGGCGAGUGGCGAACGGGUGAGUAAUGCAUCGGAACGUUCCCAGUAGUGGGGGAUAGCCCGGCGAAAGCCGGAUUAAUACCGCAUACGACCUGAGGGUGAAAUCGGGGGACCGAAAGGCCUCGCGCUAUUGGAGUGGCCGAUGUCGGAUUAGCUAGUUGGUGGGGUAAAGGCUUACCAAGGCGACGAUCCGUAGCUGGUCUGAGAGGACGACCAGCCACAAUGGGACUGAGACACGGCCCAGACUCCUACGGGAGGCAGCAGUGGGGAAUGUUGGACAAUGGGGGCAACCCUGAUCCAGCCAUGCCGCGUGCGGGAAGAAGGCCUUCGGGUUGUAAACCGCUUUUGUUCGGGAAGAAAUCCUCUGGGCUAAUACCCCGGGGGGAUGACGGUACCGGAAGAAUAAGCACCGGCUAACUACGUG